GGCGGCAUAGCUCAAUUGGUAGAGCGGGAGAAUCAUAAUCUCUGUGUUCGGGGUUCAAGUCCCUGUGCCGCCA
rnacentral:tRNA from 1 species